CAGAGUAAAGCUGAUGCGUUCGAGUAUGCAGACCAAGUAUUGGAGCGUUGGUACCCGACACUUGAAGAGGGAAACAACAAAGGUAUCGUGGUACUGGUGACCAGUAAAAAAGAAGGGGCAGUGACCGGGGGCCCUGCAUUCAUCCAGGCUGUUGGUGAUACUGUUCUUGAUGCCGGUGUAUCCCAGAACCUUCUUGGUGAUGAAGUUGUCCGAUACAAAUUCGAAGAGAGGUCUUCUCAGAUCUUGUGCUCAAUUGGAUUCAGAUAUGUUUCAUUCAAAACAUACCAAGGGUAUUCCGGCUUGGGCAUUACACAGUCCCUAAAGAAAUGGAAGAGGUGGUGCGCCCUCUGUUGCUGGUCUCAAAUCACAUUAACUAAUGGGAGCCAUAAAUGUAUUUUAAUUCAAGAAAAAAAGUGACCCAUUGCCUAUGUACUUUAGAACUGAGGUCACCUUAUAUCCAAGUAAUUUUAUGAAAUUUGGUUGACUUGUAUCUUAGUUCUCAAGUCCACCGAUGUUGUCAUGUUGAUGGUAAUUUUGAGAGGUGUGCAACAUCAAAGGUUGAAUUUUGGAUCACUUGGAUACGGAGCUCUUCAGCAUCCCCUGCCUUUGAGCCCUAAUUGGCUUUUAGGGGGCCUGGAUAAAAUUGGAGGUCAACCUGCUUCUACCUGGCCUCUGUGUCCCAAUAAUACAGUCCCGUAUGCGAACCAAGUCAACCAGGCUAUUGUCCCCGAAGGAUGGCACAAUGGUGACUGGAAUCUGAUUUGAGUCUUGAUCCUAACUUUGUGGAGAGCCUGGCUAGGAGUUGGUGAAUUGGUAUGUUUGUGUGAUCAACCGUAUCUAGGGAUGAGCAUGGUACCUGUACCGAAUAUACCGGUUCGGUACCGGUAUUUACCGGUGUUUUCCCCGUAAAUAUUGGUACCAUGUCGGUGCCGAAAAACGAGGAAAGUGAGUACCAGUAGUGGUAUCGAAUAUAUCCGGUACCAAAUGCUCAUACCUAACUCUAUCUAACAUGAAGAACAUUUUUUUGUCCAUUUGAUACUAAAAAUUUUAUAAAUAGCUGAUGACUUAAAGUAUUAUUGCAGCUAUAUUAUCACGAUAAUAAUCUAUUAUACAGUUGGUCAAGUUUCUAUUAUACAGUUGUUAAAAGAUCUGUGCAGGUUCCAAAUGUAAGCUGCAGAUUGUGUGCCAAAGAUGUAGACUUCUGAGCAUUUGUUUACAGCUUGUGGUUCUAUCCAAAAAGUGCGGGAGGAAAUGACAAGGUGGUGUGAAAUUCAGCCUUUGUUCUUUUCCAUGGGGAGAUGUAGUUAGUUUUUACCAGAUUGCUCACGGGUCAAAGAAGCGAAAAAGGUCAUAUAGUGUUUUUUUAUCAGAAGCAACAUAGGCCGGAGAAGGUGCUUGGGGAAGUCAAAGCGAUGGGAUGUUUGUGGCUUAGGAAUCGAUCUAAAUGCCUGGAUUUAUUGUGGGAAAAGUGACGUGAGUUUGAUUUGUGUUGUACGGGGUUUAGGUGUUUCAUUUGUGAUGUAUUUAUGAACUGAACUGGAGGUUUUGGUUUAACUGUAUGUUGACCCGUUACAUUUGAUU